rnacentral:misc_RNA from 1 species
UAACUCGCGAGAGAGAGAGAGAGAGAGAGUAAAGCAACCGAGGAAAGGCCACAUUUCAAUCCAAAGUUCAAAACCAUUUCAAGUGAAAUUAAACAUACAAAUUGGGCACAGUAAUCUCUGGCUAGAGUUUUUUGCAUGCCAGUGGAUUUGGUUAAAUACAUACAGCAGCCAAUAACUACAUAGCAUAAUGAUCACCACUGUCCCCAUCUUCUUGAUGGAGAUCUCCGUCCUCGUCACCCAGAUUUGAAUAACAGAACUGCUUUCAAAAUUCCGACCAACGAUGCAAUGCCAAGUGGGUCCAUGCCUUCUAUCGAACUCCUUCUUUAUGUGCUCAGCUACAUCCUUCUCUACUUUGAGCUUCUCGAACGCGGCGAUGGCAAUAUCAACAGCCUCUUUCUGCAUAUCGUCUUUCAUGUCUGCGUUCUUGAUGAUGAUUUUCUUGGGGGUGGGAGCUGUAUCCGGAGAGACUUUCCGAUCAUCUGAGAUGGGUUUACCCACCAGACCUCCGGUGAUGCUCCUCUUGGGUUCUUCAGUGCUCAUGAUUUUUGUUGGUUUGGUUGCUUAUUUUCCUUUGAGAUGAAGCUAUUGAGCUCUGAUUAGCUGAAGUGGAAGAAAUAAGAGAACAAUUUCUGUCCCACCACCCCGUGAGAAAGUGUUUUUUUAUUCUUGGAUGAUUUUAACUUC